AAUUGGAGGGCAAGUCUGGUGCCAGCAGCCGCGGUAAUUCCAGCUCCAAUAGCGUAUAUUAAAGUUGUUGCAGUUAAAAAGCUCGUAGUUGAAUUUCGGGACUGACAGGUUGGUCGCGCCUUCGGUGUGUACUGGCCUAGUCGGUUUCUCCCUUCUGACGAACCACGAUGUCAUUAAUUUGGUGUCGUGGGGAAUCAGGACUGUUACUUUGAAAAAAUUAGAGUGUUUAAAGCAGGCUUAGGCUUGAAUACAUUAGCAUGGAAUAAUGAAAUAGGACGUUUGAUCCUAUUUUGUUGGUUUCUAGGAUCGACGUAAUGAUUAAUAGGGAUAGUUGGGGGCAUUAGUAUUCAAUUGUCAGAGGUGAAAUUCUUGGAUUUAUUGAAGACUAACUACUGCGAAAGCAUUUGCCAAGGAUGUUUUCAUUAAUCAAGAACGAAAGUUAGGGGAUCGAAGACGAUCAGAUACCGUCGUAGUCUUAACCAUAAACUAUGCCGACUAGGGAUCGGAUGAUGUUAAUUUUUUAAUGACUCAUUCGGCGCCUUACGGGAAACCAAAGUGU
rnacentral:rRNA from 1 species